AGUGAACGCUGGCGGUAGGCCUAACAUAUGCAAGUCGAACGGCAGCACAGUAAGAGCUUGCUCUUACGGGUGGCGAGUGGCGGACGGGUGAGGAAUACAUCGGAAUCUACUUUUUCGUGGGGGAUAACGUAGGGAAACUUACGCUAAUACCGCAUACGACCUACGGGUGAAAGCAGGGGAUCUUCGGACCUUGCGCGAUUGAAUGAGCCGAUGUCGGAUUAGCUAGUUGGCGGGGUAAAGGCCCACCAAGGCGACGAUCCGUAGCUGGUCUGAGAGGAUGAUCAGCCACACUGGAACUGAGACACGGUCCAGACCCCUACGGGAGGCAGCAGUGGGGAAUAUUGGACAAUGGGCGCAAGCCUGAUCCAGCCAUACCGCGUGGGUGAAGAAGGCCUUCGGGUUGUAAAGCCCUUUUGUUGGGAAAGAAAAGCAGCAGGUUAAUACCCCGCUGUUCUGACGGUACCCAAAGAAUAAGCACCGGCUAACUUCGUG
rnacentral:rRNA from 1 species